rnacentral:piRNA from 1 species
CAUGCGAUGUGUUGCAGAGACGUACUACAA